AUGGAUCUCUGGGCCUGGGCUGGGCCUCCUUCAUCUGGCUUUGCACGGGAGUCGGCGAUGGAUUUUCUGGCCGCCGAUGUCUCUGGGCCUGGGCCUGCCUGCUAGAUCAAAGAUGGCAUCGACUGGAUCUGGCUGGUGCAGAUUACCGGCUUGUUUGAUAUAAUUUGUCGGGAUAUUUGCAGGCCCGGCCUGUGGAAGGAUCUGCUUAGUUUCAUGGAAAAAAAUUAGACUUGUGUCGUGGAAAAAUUAUUUGGACUUAGUGUCAUAGGAAAAAAAUUAAACAGAAGUAGUAUGCUAAGACUUACUGCACACCUUGAGGGUGCAAAUCGAAUUUGUGAGAAGAUAGACAAAGUUCCGUACGGUGCCCAUGUCAAAUCAUUGGCUUUGCGUCUGCAAAUCAAAGAUGCGGAGGCCAUGCUAUGAAGGUGUCUCCGAUGGAAUUAGGGAAACUUACGGCAAUACAUCUUGGCGAAUCAUUGGGUUGUUCCUACAAAUCAAUAGACGAAGGCGAAUUGAACGAAUCACAACAUGAGGUACCACUGAAAUCGAAUUUGAGAAAAAAGAAUAAACACAUCUAAAAAAAAGUAUAGGGAAACUUACGGCGAUACAUCUUGGCAAACUUGACGAAUUAUUGACUUGUUUCUAUAAAUCAAUAGACGAAGGCGAAUUGAAGGAAUCACAUACUCCCUCCGAUGCAUAUUACCUGUCGCUCUUACUACAUCCGGAGGCCAAUUGAAGAAUUCACGUAGUGACUCCGGUACAUAUUACUUGUCGCUUGUACUGAACCAGCGACAAAUAAUAUGGAUCGGAAAAACUAGAUCUUCGUCUUGGGGUAAUGCUAUGGAGGAACUAUCUCAUCGUCAUCUUUGGGCAUUGUUAUGGUCGAGUACUACUAGCGAAUAACAAACGUAGGGCAGGGGAGAGGAGAGAUAGCGAGGG
rnacentral:lncRNA from 1 species